rnacentral:tRNA from 1 species
GGGGAUUUUGCUCAGUGGCGUAGCACCUGCCUGGCAAGCAUGAGGCCCUGAGUUUGAUUCCCAGUAGCUCCC